AAUACAUGCAAGUCGUACGCUUCUUUUUCCACCGGAGCUUGCUCCACCGGAAAAAGAAGAGUGGCGAACGGGUGAGUAACACGUGGGUAACCUGCCCAUCAGAAGGGGAUAACACUUGGAAACAGGUGCUAAUACCGUAUAACAAUCGAAACCGCAUGGUUUUGAUUUGAAAGGCGCUUUCGGGUGUCGCUGAUGGAUGGACCCGCGGUGCAUUAGCUAGUUGGUGAGGUAACGGCUCACCAAGGCCACGAUGCAUAGCCGACCUGAGAGGGUGAUCGGCCACAUUGGGACUGAGACACGGCCCAAACUCCUACGGGAGGCAGCAGUAGGGAAUCUUCGGCAAUGGACGAAAGUCUGACCGAGCAACGCCGCGUGAGUGAAGAAGGUUUUCGGAUCGUAAAACUCUGUUGUUAGAGAAGAACAAGGAUGAGAGUAACUGUUCAUCCCUUGACGGUAUCUAACCAGAAAGCCACGGCUAACUACGUGCCAGCAGCCGCGGUAAUACGUAGGUGGCAAGCGUUGUCCGGAUUUAUUGGGCGUAAAGCGAGCGCAGGCGGUUUCUUAAGUCUGAUGUGAAAGCCCCCGGCUCAACCGGGGAGGGUCAUUGGAAACUGGGAGACUUGAGUGCAGAAGAGGAGAGUGGAAUUCCAUGUGUAGCGGUGAAAUGCGUAGAUAUAUGGAGGAACACCAGUGGCGAAGGCGGCUCUCUGGUCUGUAACUGACGCUGAGGCUCGAAAGCGUGGGGAGCAAACAGGAUUAGAUACCCUGGUAGUCCACGCCGUAAACGAUGAGUGCUAAGUGUUGGAGGGUUUCCGCCCUUCAGUGCUGCAGCUAACGCAUUAAGCACUCCGCCUGGGGAGUACGACCGCAAGGUUGAAACUCAAAGGAAUUGACGGGGGCCCGCACAAGCGGUGGAGCAUGUGGUUUAAUUCGAAGCAACGCGAAGAACCUUACCAGGUCUUGACAUCCUUUGACCACUCUAGAGAUAGAGCUUCCCCUUCGGGGGCAAAGUGACAGGUGGUGCAUGGUUGUCGUCAGCUCGUGUCGUGAGAUGUUGGGUUAAGUCCCGCAACGAGCGCAACCCUUAUUGUUAGUUGCCAUCAUUUAGUUGGGCACUCUAGCAAGACUGCCGGUGACAAACCGGAGGAAGGUGGGGAUGACGUCAAAUCAUCAUGCCCCUUAUGACCUGGGCUACACACGUGCUACAAUGGGAAGUACAACGAGUCGCGAAGUCGCGAGGCUAAGCUAAUCUCUUAAAGCUUCUCUCAGUUCGGAUUGUAGGCUGCAACUCGCCUACAUGAAGCCGGAAUCGCUAGUAAUCGCGGAUCAGCACGCCGCGGUGAAUACGUUCCCGGGCCUUGUACACACCGCCCGUCACACCACGAGAGUUUGUAACACCCGAAGUCGGUGAGGUAACCUUUUGGAGCCAGCCGCCUAA
rnacentral:rRNA from 1 species